GCUGGGCUAGCUCAAUUGAUAGAGCAUGAGACUCUUGAUCUCAGGAUCAUAGGUUUGAGCCCCAUGUUGGGCA